AAGACUACACUUUUCAGGGAUAAUUUCUAUAGUUCAUUACUAGAGAAGUUUCUCUGAAUAUGUAGAGCACCAUAAAAUAAAUUUUAUUUUUUAUUUGAAACAGGGUCUCACUCUGUCACCCAAGCUGGAGUGCAGUGGCACGAUCUUGGCUCACUGCAGCCGU
rnacentral:snoRNA from 10 species